rnacentral:lncRNA from 1 species
AAAAGAAACGAUUUCUUCAAAUAUAUUUUUUUUUCUUGUUGAAAAAUUAGUUGUUUUUACUGUUAUUCAGAAGCAUGGAGUUUCGUAUAACUUUCCUUUUUUCAACUAUAAGCUACCGUACAUUUUAUACAAGGAUUUUUGCCCCAAUCUUUAUUUUUAUUUUUGGUGCACAGGAAUGAAAUUUGGAGGUCAGGUAGUAUAGAGCAGAACUGUUGAAGAGGUAGAAAAGGCUGCAGAUGAGCUUCUACAUUUCAUGGAAGCUAAGAAAAGUAAAGGGGGCGAGUGCAUCUGUUAUAUGUUGUUCAAAAAUGAAUAAAAC